rnacentral:rRNA from 1 species
AACGAACGCUGGCGGCGCGUCUUAAGCAUGCAAGUCGAACGGCAAGAGAGGAGCUUGCUUCUCUCCUAGAGUGGCGGACUGGUGAGGAACACGUGGGUAAUCUACCCUUAAGAUGGGGAUAGCUGCUAGAAAUAGCAGGUAAUACCGAAUACACUUGGCAUAUCACAAGAGGUGUUGAGGAAAGGAAGCUACGGCUUCGCUUGAGGAUGAGCUUGCGUCCCAUUAGCUAGUUGGUGAGGUAAAGGCCCACCAAGGCGACGAUGGGUAUCCGGCCUGAGAGGGUGAACGGACACAUUGGGACUGAGAUACGGCCCAAACUCCUACGGGAGGCAGCAGCUAAGAAUAUUCCGCAAUGGACGGAAGUCUGACGGAGCGACGCCGCGUGGAUGAAGAAGGCUGAAAAGUUGUAAAAUCCUUUUGUUGAUGAAGAAUAAGGGUGAGAGGGAAUGCUCAUCUGAUGACGGUAAUCGACGAAUAAGCCCCGGCUAAUUACGUG